GACGAACGCUGGCGGCGUGCUUAACACAUGCAAGUCGAACGGUGAAGCACCUUCCUUUUGGUGGGUGUGGAUGAGUGGCGAACGGGUGAGUAACACGUGAGUAACCUGCCCCCUUCUUCUGGAUAACCGCAUGAAAGUGUGGCUAAUACGGGAUAUUCUGGGUCUGUCGCAUGGCGGGCCUGGGAAAGAUAUUGUUUCGGUGGGGGAUGGGCUCGCGGUCUAUCAGCUUGUGGGUGGGGCGAUGGCCUACCAAGGCGGUGAGGGGUAGCCGGCCUGAGAGGGUGAACGGUCACACAGGGACUGAGACACGGCCCAGACUCCUACGGGAGGCAGCGGUGGGGAAUAGUGCACAAUGGGCGCAAGCCUGAUGCAGCGACGCCGCGUGAGGAAUGGAGGCCUUCGGGUUGUAAACCUCUUUCGCCAGUGAAGCAGGCCUGUCUCUUUUGUGGGUGGGUUGACGGUAGCUGGAUAAGAAGCGCCGGCUAACUACGUG
rnacentral:rRNA from 1 species